rnacentral:rRNA from 1 species
AGCGAACGCUGGCGGCAGGCCUAACACAUGCAAGUCGAGCGGCCGUAGCAAUACGGCAGCGGCAGACGGGAUAGUAACACGUGGGAACGCGCCCUUCGGUUCGGAAUAACUCAGGGAAACUUGAGCUAAUACCGGAUACGCCCUUACGGGGAAAGAUUUAUUGCCGAAGGAACGGCCCGCGUCCGAUUAGCUAGUUGGUGAGGUAAUGGCUCACCAAGGCGACGAUCGGUAGCUGGCUGAGAGGAUGACCAGCAUCACUGGGACUGAGACACGGCCCAGACUCCUACGGGAGGCAGCAGGUGGGGAAUAUUGGACAAUGGGCGCAAGCCUGAUCCAGCCAUGCCGCGUGGAUGAUGAAGGCCCUAGGGUUGUAAAGUCCUUUUAACGGGGAAGAUAAUGACGGUACCCGUAGAAUAAGCCCGGCUAACUUCGUGACAGCCGCCGCAGUAAU